GACGAACGCUGGCGGCGUGCCUAAUACAUGCAAGUAGAACGCUGAAGAGAGGAGCUUGCUCUUCUUGGAUGAGUUGCGAACGGGUGAGUAACGCGUAGGUAACCUGCCUGGUAGCGGGGGAUAACUAUUGGAAACGAUAGCUAAUACCGCAUAAAAUGGAUUAUCGCAUGAUAAUCCAUUGAAAGGUGCAAAUGCAUCACUACCAGAUGGACCUGCGUUGUAUUAGCUAGUUGGUGGGGUAACGGCUCACCAAGGCGACGAUACAUAGCCGACCUGAGAGGUUGAUCGGCCACACUGGGACUGAGACACGGCCCAGACUCCUACGGGAGGCAGCAGUAGGGAAUCUUCGGCAAUGGACGGAAGUCUGACCGAGCAACGCCGCGUGAGUGAAGAAGGUUUUCGGAUCGUAAAGCUCUGUUGUAAGAGAAGAACGAGUGUGAGAGUGGAAAGUUCACACUGUGACGGUAUCUUACCAGAAAGGGACGGCUAACUACGUG
rnacentral:rRNA from 1 species